GGGGGCGACUGGUUUCGACGGGGAGUAUGAUGACAGGGGUAGCGGGUCGAGGUGCUGUGGCCUCGUUAAACUGCAGCAAGCACAAUAAGUGCCGAUAACAAUCUCGCUUUAGCUGCUUAAUUUAAAGCAGCCGUCCAAUCCGGACUUAACCUGGGAGUCCGGCACGGGCGUCACUUAAACCAGGUUGCUCACCGGCCAAUUCUCGGAGGCCGGUGCUAAGACCAUCGAGAUAGUCGUAGUCCAGUUUGUCCGUAGACGGGACCACGGCGAAAAUAAAAUACGGACUGCACCCGGAGAGACUCCUGUGGUCAUCUUUUCGGACGGGGGUUCGAUUCCCCCCGCCUCCACCA
rnacentral:tmRNA from 1 species